UUGGGGUCAGGUCUCUCUGAGCCCUCCAGUGUGAUAAAGCUCAAUUCUCUUCACUUCUCCAAGUGCCACUCUGUUUCUUCCUGAAGCAUUAAGGUCCCAGGAUCCUCCAUUUCUUACAGAGGACAUGAAUGUGUCCUUCUCAGCUGAGCUCUGUACCCUUCUGGAUGCACACCACACCACCUCCCCUGCAUCCGCACCUCUGUGGAUGGACUUGCACACUGCUGCCAAAUGCCACAACUGAGAACCGUGCUGCUCUACACAAUCUGCUCAUGUCCCUGUAAUACGGUGACUUCAGCUGCUUCACGAAGAUGUUUAGAAGAAGGGCAGCUGGAUCCAACAGCAUUUCUAUUUUUGCUUUUUGAGGAUGCUCCAUACUGACUUCCAUCGUGGUUGUACCAGUUAAUAUUCCCACAGCAAUGCUACCGGUUCCUUUUCCCCCUACAACUUUGCCAAUUUGUUGUUUUUUCUAUUUUUUGUUGUCUUCAACAGUAGCCUUUUUUACUGAUUUAAAGAACAAAAUAAGAAACAAGGAGAUAGUCUUUGUGGGGAUGGGAAUUGAUUUGGGAAAAGGGGGAGAAGCAUGCAGGGGCAGAAAGGGGAAAUUAAAAAAAAAAGAUACACCAUCUACCCGUGUCAAUUCCUCAAGAUCAACAAUGAUUAUGUAUUACAAGCAUUUAUGGACUUGAAAAGUCCCCUGUUAACUAUUACCUCAACAAUCUCCUGGACGUGUACUAAGUGACACGUUCCAACUCCACAUUCAUUUAAUCGUCCCUGAAUGUCUAGUGUACACUAGGCAUUGUUCUGGAACUGAAACAACACUGGCUAAAAAUGUCUAAAAGCAUUAUCCUCAUGGUGUUUGUAUUCAAAAACAGAAAAGGUGGAUUAAGAUAAUCCAUUUUCUUCACAGGAACCGGCUGGGUGCAGGAUAAUGUUUUACAUAGUACACAAUAACUUAUAGAGCCUGGGAAAUACUGAGGAAGCACCACUGACUUCGUUGAGUGUUUAAAAAUCUUUCUGGUUGCAUUUAAGUGAGAUUUUUCAACCUUCGAAAUUGUGUUAUCUUCGGAACCUGAUAAACCAUAAAACCAUGUCGAAGUCACCAGUUAAAUGGCUCAGUGUGCUCAAUGAACAGAAGAGAUGCAUUUCAGUUGUGCCCAACCCAAUUAAAUGUCACCCAAGCAAAUGAAAUGUCACUCCCAACAGAAACUUUCUUUGCUGCAAGCCUCUGAGUACCUGACAGCCCCUUUUGUUGGACAGUAUUGACUUUGAUAAUAUUAACUGGCUGCAGCUAUGGGGAGGUGAAUACAAGUUAAGAGUCUCUAUGUUUCAUUGGUAGAUUUCUCAAACAAGAAAUUAAGAUUAGUUGCACAUUUAGCUAUGCGAUUUUUCUACAAGAAACCAUUCUGAAAACUCACUUGUUGUGAAUCUUUUCUUUUAAAGGUGUUUUUGUUUAGAGUCUAAUCUGAUCAAUCUCAAUAAAGAGUUUGCAGUUUUCCAAAUUACUUAAUCUCUCUCCAAACCACUCAAGUUCGUGACAGAAUCUUGGAAGUGGGGAGACUCAGCCGAUCCUUAAUCAUUCAGCUACCAGUGACCUGCAGGGUAUGAACAGCGAUGAUACUCUCAGGCCAAGUUCAAUACCCCCAGGCCGAGCAUAGAGAGCUGGUGUCAGGGCUAAGCGCUCCUUGAGGACAAGGCAAUGGCUGAGGUGCCACCAACCAUCACGCGUGAACCAAUUUCUCAUUCCCUAGGCAUCCACUGAUUAUCGAUGUGCUAGCUUAAAAAAAA